UACGAACCGCACGAACGUUAUUCGGAAUCACUGGGCUUAAAGGGUGCGUAGGCGGCCAUGCAAGUUGGGUGUGAAAUCCCUCGGCUCAACCGAGGAAUUGCGCUCAAAACUGCACGGCUUGAGGGAGAUAGAGGUGAGCGGAACUUGCGGUGGAGCGGUGAAAUGCGUUGAUAUCGCAAGGAACACCAGUUGCGAAAGCGGCUCACUGGGUCUCUUCUGACGCUGAGGCACGAAAGCUAGGGGAGCGAAGAGG
rnacentral:rRNA from 2 species